rfam:Triticum urartu cultivar G1812 contig578928, whole genome shotgun sequence.
CUUGUACUCCCUCCGUUCCUAAAUAUUUGUCUUUCUAGUCAUUUCAACAAGUGACUACAUACGGAGCAAAAUGAGUGAAUCUACACUCUAAAAUAUGUCUACAUACAUCCGUAUGUAGUAAUCAUUUGAAAUGUCCAGAAAGACAAAUAUUUAGGAACGGAGGGAGUAUAUU